GUCAAAGUGCGCGGAUCGCUUGAAAGGCGAACAACUCAUAUAUUUAUUCUAAUAUUCCAUAUAUGUAUAUAUUCCUGUAAUAAUUAAAUAUUUGUUAAGUGCAAGUUAAUGUGUCAGUCGCUGCUGUCUUGUUGAGUCAAGUUCAUUUAGCGAGUGCAAGGUGCAAAAGUGAGCUAAUAUCCGAAGCAGCAAGUCUGUUUAGUUUCAGUUGGAAAGCCAAGCGAAAAAGAUGGGAAAGUUCGAAUACUCACUGGGUCUCAAUGAGCUCAAAUCCAAGGAGCUGCGAUUGUGGCAGGCCCUGAUUGGAGAAUUUCUGGGCAAUCUGAUCCUUAAUUUCUUUGCCUGCGGUGCAUGCACACAGGAUCAGGAUGGAACCUUUAAGGCCCUGGCCUUUGGCCUGGCCAUUUUCAUGGCCAUUACGAUUGUGGGUCAUCUGAGUGGCGGACAUGUGAAUCCUGCCGUCACGGCUGGCAUGUUGGUAGCAGGACGAAUCAGUUUCAUCAGAGCCAUUUUCUAUGUAAUCUUCCAAUGUCUGGGAGCUAUUGCCGGAACUGCAGCUGUCCGGAUCCUCAUCGAUCGCGACUAUUACAAUGGCCUGGGUCACACCAGUUUGGCUCCGAAUAUCACUGAGCUCCAGGGUCUGGGCAUUGAGUUCUUCUUGGGGCUCCUCCUGGUCCUGGUGGUGUUCGGUGCCUGUGAUGCCAAUAAACCGGAUUCCCGGUACACUGCCCCCCUGGCCAUUGGCAUGGCCGUGACCUUGGGUCAUUUGGGUACGAUUCGUUAUACUGGAGCCAGCAUGAAUCCUGCUCGCACUGUGGGCACUGCCUUUGCCACUGAUAAUUGGUCCUCCCAUUGGGUUUACUGGGCUGGACCCAUUCUGGGGGGCGUGACCGCCGCCCUGCUGUACACCCAAGUCCUGGAGGCGAAGCCGGCACCCAAGACGAACGAGGCGGCGGAGAAGUACCGAACGCAUGCCGACGAACGUGAGGUGAGAGUACGAUUGAUAAGCGCCUGGAGCGAGGAGUCCUUCUACUGAUCAGUGAUCAGUGAUCACUUGUAACACACACUCACACCUCUCAUACACGCACAGACACAUCUCUCAUCCGCAUUAUGCGCAAAUUGGAAGGAGCUCGCGAUUAUGCUUAGAAAUUAAGGAAAAUUAAGCGACUCGAAUCUGGAGAGUUAUAGAAAGGGAAAAGGGUUUCGAGAACCCAUUCAUUGCAGUGUCUAUCAUAUAUACUUAUGUCGUGUACUUCCCCCCGUUCGUGUGUAUUUAUGUGUAUUUAUUCAUGAAAAGUUCAUUUUUUAUUUAACUAAUAUUUAAAUGUCUAAGCUGCCCCUAAAACAAAUGCAAAUUCUAAAAAGCAAAAAAACAAUUACUUGUAUUCUCAUCCGUUCACAAUAAAGUGGAAAAAACAUUAAUUAAAA